CCGGCCACAUGGCCCAGGAACAGAGUGGGAAGGGAAACUCCCCACCCCCACUCCUGGCUGCCCCCUUAACAAGGAUCUUAGAAUGCCCCCCCACACCCCCAAGUCCCUGCACACACAGAGACACAGACACAUGCGUGUUGAGACACCCACGCUGGUUCUCUCUGUGUCCGAGUCUCUGUAUGCCCCGUCUCCUCACAUAGACUGGCUGCUUCUGGCAGGACCUUCACCUCUGCCAACACCCAUGCCUGGUGACUGAUAUCGUUUCUUGGUGGAGUAGACAGACAGCACAGCAAGUAUCUCUACCUGACCAGCCAAGUGUUCGUACAGCCCUAGGUCAACUUCUCUCCUGGCCCCUUCAUGCCUCACUGGAGGCUCACCAGAGUCCCUCACGGUCAUAGUGUCUUUCCAUAGUGUCUCCAGUGGGGACAUCUUGGCUGCAGGAGCCCACAUGUAACCCGAGGGGGCAAGAGGUGCUCUGCCAGCGCUGACACCCGUGGCCAUGAGGGCCACAUGGCCAUAUGCGUGUGCGAAGUCCAGGUUUCAGCAGAUUCAGAACUGGGCUCAGAGGGGCUGGGAUCUGGUAAAUCACAGAGCCAGCACCGAUCGCAGAGCUGCUCCAGUGGCCAGACAGGACCUGCACCCCGCAGCCAGGCUCACCCAGGGGCCCGCACACGUGCGUGCACACGCUGCAGCCCUCGCGUCCUCACCCAGAACUCGGCCUUGCCGUUGUUCUUCUUGCAGCGCUCGGCCAGUACCGACACACCCACUGUCACCUCAGACAUCGGCUCUUCGGCUGCUCGCAUCAGCACAAUCUGGAUGACGCGGCCCUCGUAGAUGUGGGCAUCGAAUGUGGACUUCCACUCGGGAUACAUGGUAGGCUUCUUCUGCACCAGUGUCUUCCCGCGCUCUGCAACAUGGCCGGGCAGGCAAGGUCCGGCUGGGGUCCCUCUGUCCCACCACCCCACCCCCAGACUUCCCAUAGCCUUCAGCCGGAGAGAAUCCGCCUGGCUCUCCCUCUGACAUUUCCACUCCCCCGCCUUCACAACUGUGCUCUGCUCACCUCCCCAGCCUCAUGUUAUUCCUAACACACUCCAGAGCACACAGCUGCCUGCAGCUCCUCUAGGAAGCCCUGCUAGGUCCCAUCCCAGCCCCUGCUCUUCCCUCUUCCUGUGACCCUCUUCCUCAGCCCCACUUAGCUGUCACCUCCCCUCAUGCACUCAGUGAACAAAUGUGGAGGCCCGUCAUGCCAGCCUUGGCAUUUGGAGGUAAAGAACACGGCAGAAAGAAAAGUGAAAAACAGUGCCUGUCUCCCUAGAGCCCAGUCCAGGGCAGAGACAUGAGCCCAUUAAUUCCUCAAGUAAAUGUUAAACCACAGCUGUGAUGAGAUUGAAGAAAGCAAGGCCAGGGCUUUACACCUGCUCUGGGUCAUGGUCAGGUGGCAUGCCCCAGCCUAAGGGUCAGGGAAUGCCUCCUGGAAGAAGGGACAGCUCAGCCGGGACCUAAGGGACGAGCCAGGGUCUCAGCAAGUGAGGACAGAAGCAAGAAGGAAUGGUGUGAGAUGUUUGCCUCUUCCAGGAGGACCUUGCUGAGAGCCCAGCCUGGGACAGUGCUUCCUGUGGGCUUCCCUGUCACGGGACUCAUUGUCUGGCUCCCACACCUGACUGUGAGCCCCAUGAGAGCAGGGCUAAGUCAGCCCUGGAGCAUGGCAGUGUCCUCAGUGCCCAGCACAGGGGCUGGCACAGAUGAGCAUGAGGAAAUUGUUGGGUGAACCCACCAAUGGGGGAGGAGCCAGAAUCCCCCCUCCCCCCCACCUCCACCCCACGAUCACCCUGGAGAAGGCUCUACACAGCCAAUGCUAGAAGCCCUACGGGCACUCGGUGGUCUCCACGGUCCUACAUCCACAGCUGGGCUGGGCCGGGAGGUAAGGAUGAGGAAGAGAAGGAUCCCUCGGAAGUUCUAGGGGAACAAGGCAUGGGCCCUGCAGGGCCUCCCACCGAGCCUGGAUUCUCAGUCCUACCUGUGCUAAGUGCCUCCUUCAUCUUCACGGCACAGAAGGGCUGGCUGGCCUCGUCCGCAGCCUGCAGGGAGCCGAGCUCAUAGGAGGUGAAGGCGAUACGCAGGAACGGUGCCAUGCUGGGGCCUGCAGUACGGCUGUACAGACAGAAUGGGUGAGGCCGGGCAGCAAGGGACAGUCCCAGGAGGCGCUGCUCGGGUGCCCCCGGGGGACUCUCACCGCAUUGAGUUUGGCCCAUUCAGUUAGUGCUUACAGGGCACUAGUUCUAGUUGCUGUUGCCAAAACUGAGACGUUUUCUGGAAGUCUGGAUUUGUGGCAUCCCUGGUAAAAUGAAGAUGUGACCUCAAGCACACUGGGCAACAGCUGGCUGGCACCCCUGCCAGUCUACUCCAGGCCAGGGGCCCCCUUUUUACUCCUUUCCAAAACCUACCGGGACCCUGGAGGCAUUGAGUCUGUGACCACGAGUCAUUUAUCUGGGGACUCAUUUAAGGACCCCUGUAAUACCCAAUUUCUGUGCACGUACUAUGUGCUGAGCACUCGGUAUAUGCUGGGCUCCAGCACGUCAGUGCCAGCCAAGAUGGGCAGGACGGUACCCCCGCCUCCCUGCACCCUGUUCCCUUGCAGAUCUUCUUGGUUUUCGAAGUUUGUUUUUUAUUCAUAACUACCCAGGAGGACAAAUAGGGCCAAGAUGACCACCCCCACCUUUCAGAUGGAGAAACGGAAACCCUGAGGCUGAGCCAGAAGCUAAAGCUGAGAUUCCACUAAUUAAGCACCCACUUCAUUCAGGGACCAGGGCAGGGAAAGGCCCCACCCUCACCCCUGACCUUUUGAACCCCAGCCCCUCUGGGUCAGGUGCCCCUCAUCCUACAGAGGUUGCCUGCGCUUUCCAACUAAUUUUUCCCAAAUAUAAAACUAUUUUAAUGUUGAACGUAA